rnacentral:rRNA from 1 species
CCUACGGGGGGCAGCAGUGGGGAAUAUUGGACAAUGGGGCAACCCUGAUCCAGCCAUGCCGCGUGUGUGAAGAAGGCCCUCGGGUUGGAAAGCACUUUCAGUGAGGAAGAACGCCUGGUGGUUAAUACCCAUCAGGAAAGACAUCACUCACAGAAGAAGCACCGGCUAACUCCGUGCCAGCAGCCGCGGUAAUACGGAGGGUGCGAGCGUUAAUCGGAAUUACUGGGCGUAAAGCGCGCGUAGGUGGCUUGAUAAGCCGGUUGUGAAAGCCCCGGGCUCAACCUGGGAACGGCAUCCGGAACUGUCAAGCUAGAGUGCAGGAGAGGAAGGUAGAAUUCCCGGUGUAGCGGUGAAAUGCGUAGAGAUCGGGAGGAAUACCAGUGGCGAAGGCGGCCUUCUGGACUGACACUGACACUGAGGUGCGAAAGCGUGGGUAGCAAACAGGAUUAGAUACCCUAGUAGUC